rnacentral:rRNA from 1 species
AGUGAACGCUGGCGGUAGGCCUAACACAUGCAAGUCGAACGGCAGCACAGUAAGAGCUUGCUCUUACGGGUGGCGAGUGGCGGACGGGUGAGGAAUACAUCGGAAUCUACUUUUUCGUGGGGGAUAACGUAGGGAAACUUACGCUAAUACCGCAUACGACCUACGGGUGAAAGCAGGGGAUCUUCGGACCUUGCGCGAUUGAAUGAGCCGAUGUCGGAUUAGCUAGUUGGCGGGGUAACGGCCCACCAAGGCGACGAUCCGUAGCUGGUCUGAGAGGAUGAUCAGCCACACUGGAACUGAGACACGGUCCAGACUCCUACGGGAGGCAGCAGUAGGGAAUAUUGGCCAAUGCGCGCAAGCCUGAUCCAGCCAUACCGCGUGGGUGAAGAAGGCCUUCGGGUUGUAAAGCCCUUUUGUUGGGAAAGAAAAGCAGCAGGUUAAUACCCCGCUGUUCUGACGGUACCCAAAGAAUAAGCACCGGCUAACUUCGUG